ACAGGUACAAGUACAUGCCUGUAGUCCUGGCUACUUAGGAGGUUUAGGGAGGAUAAUUGCUUGAGCCUAGGAGUUCUGGGUUAGCUAUACUUUGUUAUGCAAUCGGGUAUCCACACUAAGUUUGGCAUUGAUACGGUGACCUCCCAGGACAAGGCAACCACCAGGUUGCCCAAGGAGGGGAAAAAUUAGCCCAGGCCAGAAAUAGAGCAGCUCAAAACUCUUGUGCUGAUCAGUAGUGGGAUGGUAACUGUGAAUAGCCACUACACUCCAGCCUGGGCAACAUUGCAAGAAACAAUCUCU
rnacentral:SRP_RNA from 1 species